rnacentral:misc_RNA from 1 species
GAUGAAGAACGUAGUGAAAUGCGAUAAGUAAUGCGAAUUGCAGAAUUCCAGUGAGUCAUCGAAUCUUUGAACGCACAUUGCGCCCUUUGGUAUUCCGAAGGGCAUGCCUGUUCGAGCGUCAUUAUCACCCCUCAAGCCCCCUGGCUUGGUGUUGGACGGUUGGCGAUGACCCCCGGGUCGUCGCCCCUCCCAAAGACAAUGACGGCGGCCUCGUUGGACCCCCGGUACACUGAGUUCUUCACGGGACACGUACUGGAUCAAGGGUGCGCGGAGCACGGUCUUACCAUUUCACCCCUCGCGGGCGGAAUAAUUUUUCUAGGUUGACCUCGGAUCAGGUAGGGAUACCCGCUGAACUUAAGCAUAUCAAUAAGCGGAGGA